rnacentral:rRNA from 1 species
CGAGGGAUCCUAGCGUUGUUCGGAAUCACUGGGCGUAAAGCGUUUGUAGGCGGCUCUAUAAGUCGGGUGUGAAAUCCCACGGCUCAACCGUGGAAGUGCAUUCGAAACUGCAGAGCUUGAAUAUGGUAGAGGAGAGUAGAAUUCCUGGUGUAGUGGUGAAAUACGUAGACAUCAGGAGGAAUACCGGUGGCGAAGGCGGCUCUCUGGACCAAUAUUGACGCUGAGAAACGAAAGUGCGGGGAUCAAACAGGAUUAGAUACCCUGGUAGUCCGCACCGUAAACGAUGAUCACUUGGUGUUGGAGGUAUUGACCCCUUCAGUGCCGAAGCUAACGCGUUAAGUGCUCCGCCUGGGAAGUACGGUCGCAAGAUUA